rnacentral:rRNA from 1 species
AUACGUAAGUCCCAAGCAUUACCCGGAAUCACUGGGUGUAAAGGGUUCGUAGGUGGAAAAAUAAGUUGGAUAUGAAAGACCGAGGCUCAACUUCGUGUUUGUAUUCAAAACUGUUUUUCUAGAAUCAGGGAGAGGUAAGCGGAAUUUUAAGUGUAGGGGUGCAAUCCGUAGAUACUUAAAAGAACACCAAAAGCGAAGGCAGCUUACUGGAACUGUAUUGACACUGAGGAACGAAAGCGUGGGUAGCGAAAAGGAUUAGAAACCCGAGUAGUCC